rnacentral:rRNA from 1 species
CGGGUGAGUAACGCGUGAGGAACCUGCCUCAAAGAGGGGGACAACAGUUGGAAACGACUGCUAAUACCGCAUAAGCCCACGGCUCGGCAUCGAGCAGAGGGAAAAGGAGUGAUCCGCUUUGAGAUGGCCUCGCGUCCGAUUAGCUAGUUGGUGAGGUAACGGCCCACCAAGGCAACGAUCGGUAGCCGGACUGAGAGGUUGAACGGCUACAUUGGGACUGAGACACGGCCCAG